rnacentral:lncRNA from 1 species
CGCCACUCACUUUUUCUGCAGUGCCCGCCAGUGGCAGUUAGCCGUCACCCUCACUUAGUUCACCAUUCCCUGUGCUCCUCACCAUCAUGUCUACAAACACUGAAGGUACUGCUGAAGAUCGCCUGCGAGUCAGCGUCGUGUACUGUGACUCCUGAGGAUACGCCCCUAAAUUCCGCCUCCUGAAGGAGCUCCUGGAGGCGGAAUAUCCUGACAAACUUAAGAUCGUCAGCGAGAGCACCACUGAAAUCACCCAUUACUUUGAAGUCACCGUUGGGUCGCGGCUAGUGCACUCCAAGAAGGCGGGCGAUGGCCACAUAGACAGCGAGGAGAAGCUGGCCCGUAUCAUGGUUGCCGUGCAGGAAGCGUUAGCGGGGAAAUGAGAGUUGCCGAGGCGAAACAAGCACAGGCGAGACGUGGGCUUUAUGAAGCUUUGAACCUCAAACCCAGACAUGGAGAGGAUGAGGCGGAAAAUUUGCAACACGACUACUGUGUAAAAAGCGGGUUAUAUUCUCUCUCUCUCUCUCUCUCUCUCUCUCUCUCUCUCUCUCUCUCUCUCUCUCUCUCUCUCUCAUCCUGACUGACGCCAAGUAAGGUGACGCAAGGAUUGUCAUUUGUCAUUGCCAAUGUAAAUGUAAUGAAAAAUAAACAUACACUGCAUCCACUAACUUUUUUUCUU